AGGACCCACUGUGAAGGUUUGGGAUGAUUUGGGGCCACAUCUAUGCUGACAGGAGCCCCAGCCUCCUCAGGUCUUAUGGUGAGGCUUGAGGAAAAUGUGGGUCACCUCAACACUGACAGCACCCCCGUCCUCCUCAGGAUCUGCACUAAAGCUUCAGGAAAUAUGGGGCUGCGUCUCUGCUGACAGGAGCCCACAGCCUCCUCAGGAUCCGCGGUGAGUUUUCAGGGGACGUGGGGCCAUGUCCAGGCUGACAGGAGCCCCCGUCCACCUGAGAACCUUCUGUGAGUCUUCCAGAGGAUGUGAGGCAUAGUCCACAGUGACAGGAGACCCGCCGUCUGCAGGACCCGCUGACUAUGACUCAGGAACACGUGGGGCCAUGUCCACACUCACAGGAGCCCUGCUUCCUCAGGACCCCCUGGAGGACUUUGGAGGAGCUGUUGGGGGCCUCAUCCACAUCAGAAGGGACUCCUCAGAACCACAGGGGGCCUGGGAUGGCUGGACGUGUUCGAACGCUAAACUUAAAGCGGAAAGGCCUUCAUUUUCUCAGCCUCCUUGCGUCCCAUCCCAUCCUAUCUAGCUCCUUUCCCCUUCCCCGGACCUCCUGAGAGAGCAAUUGCAAAUGACCUCAGCGUGGCAGCGUGUGUUGGACAGGACCAGGGAUUUGGGAUCAGGAAGACCUGGGUUGUGUGCACCCCGGCUAUGCAGCGGGAUUCGAUGCUGCAGACUCUUAUUCCCUAAGGCUAUCUUGACAACUGUUAAGGAAAUAAAUGUUAUACAUUGCUAAUUUUAAUUGCACUUGCAAUAUGGUGUCUAUUAUACUAAAAGUAUUUUUAUCUGAUUUUUGCUAUUUAUUAUCCGUUCCUGCUUUUGAGGUUAGGGAGGCAUUAUACGUGUGCAUAAGUGUUUUUAUUUCCUUCUGAUCUAAAAUUUUUACUUUGUUUCCAUCAAAGGAACUCUUUAAGAAUAAGGCAACAGUUAAUUAAACUAUUCUUAAAAUGUCU
rnacentral:lncRNA from 12 species